GAUGAACGCUGGCGGCGUGCUUAACACAUGCAAGUCGAACGGAAAGGCCCAAGCUUGCUUGGGUACUCGAGUGGCGAACGGGUGAGUAACACGUGGGUGAUCUGCCCUGCACUUCGGGAUAAGCCUGGGAAACUGGGUCUAAUACCGGAUAGGACCACAUUUUGGAUGGUGUGGUGGAAAGUUUUUCGGUGUGGGAUGAGCUCGCGGCCUAUCAGCUUGUUGGUGGGGUAAUGGCCUACCAAGGCGUCGACGGGUAGCCGGCCUGAGAGGGUGUACGGCCACAUUGGGAGUGGGAUACGGCCCAGAAGCCGACGGGAGGCAGCAGCGGGGAAUAUCGCACAAUGGGCGCAAGACUGGUGCAGCGACGCCGAGUGGGGGAUGACGGCCUUCGGGUUGUGAGCUCCUUUCGCUAGGGACGAAGCGUUAUGUGACGGUACCUGGAGAAGAAGCACCCGCUAACUACGUG
rnacentral:rRNA from 1 species